rnacentral:rRNA from 1 species
UACGGAGGGUGCGAGCGUUGUCCGGAAUCACUGGGCGUAAAGGCGCGUAGGCGGCCUGAUAAGUAGGGGGUGAAAUCCUGCGGCUUAACCGCAGGGCUGCCUUCUAAACUGUCAGGCUUGAGCACAGUAGAGGCAGGUGGAAUUCCCGGUGUAGCGGUGGAAUGCGUAGAGAUCGGGAAGAACAUCAGUGGCGAAGGCGGCCUGCUGGGCUGUUGCUGACGCUGAGGCGCGA